GACGAACGCUGGCGGCGUGCUUAACACAUGCAAGUCGAACGAGAAUCUACUGAAAGAGUUUUCGGACAAUGGAUGUAGAGGAAAGUGGCGGACGGGUGAGUAACGCGUGAGGAACCUGCCUUGAAGAGGGGGACAACAGUUGGAAACGACUGCUAAUACCGCAUAAGCGCACGGUAUCGCAUGAUACAGUGUGAAAAACUCCGGUGGUAUAAGAUGGACCCGCGUCUGAUUAGCUAGUUGGUGAGGUAACGGCCCACCAAGGCGACGAUCAGUAGCCGGCCUGAGAGGGUGAACGGCCACAUUGGGACUGAGACACGGCCCAAACUCCUACGGGAGGCAGCAGUGGGGAAUAUUGCACAAUGGGGGAAACCCUGAUGCAGCGACGCCGCGUGAGUGAUGAAGUAUUUCGGUAUGUAAAACUCUAUCAGCAGGGAAGAUAAUGACGGUACCUGACUAAGAAGCACCGGCUAAAUACGUG
rnacentral:rRNA from 1 species